rnacentral:tRNA from 1 species
UUUAAUGUGGUGUGUAUUGCAUAUCACAUUUUGGUUGUGGUGGUGGCUUGUUGCUCAUUAAAU